UGUAAAAUUGUGCAAUAGCCUAGCCAGCUAGCCUUAACAUCUAAGAAGUUUUUCCAACAAGCAAAAACCUUUAGAAAUGAAAGAAUGUGGGCAUUUAAGAUAACCUUACCCUGGGGCAUAGCACUCUCCUCCAAGUCACAGGGAGCUUCUGACCACAAAAAGAGAGGGACAGAAGCCAAUCUUAAGAGGCAAAGACUCCUGACCAUGAAGAAAGAACGUUAUCCUGAGGAGAUUCCCAAAGUUAAACUAGCUCUACAUGAGGAUGCAAUAAAGAACAUUCAUAACUUCAAGGCACCAAGAACAGUGGGAAAUUAAACCAGUGUGUUUGUAGUAUAUGUGCUUCCACCAAUUCUACCUAUUGCAAAUUAGGAGUAAACAAAGGAUAUAUGAAUUACAUUUUGAGUCUAUAGCCUUUAUUUUCGUUACAGCACUCCUGAUAUGUUAUUUUGCUUUUCUUACAUGUAUUUCAAACAUAACAGAAGGCUGAAUUAAAAUUGGCAUUUCCCUUCCCUCAAAUUUCUCCUCUUCUAAUAUUCUCCAUCUCAGCAAAAGGCACUAUUUUCACAGUUGUCUAAGCCAGAAACUGGGCACUCAGCCCUCACUUCCCUCUCUCUCAUUCUCCAUACCUAACAAAUACGAAGUUUUUACCUUGGCAUUCCAAAUACAGCAGAGAACCAUUUGCCCUCCUUCCCAUUGCCAUUUCUUUAUCCAAAUCUCUAUCAAGCAAAAGUGGAAGUUUAUUACAUAAAUUGAUCAUAUCACUUCCACCUUCUAAUUCAAAAAAUUAUUCCAUGACUUUCCACCAACUUUAGGAUGAAGUCCAAAAUCUUCACGAUGUUCAUCAGUGUCGCCACAAUGGAAACCCUGCUUAUCUAUGCAGCCUCAUAAUAUGCUACUGUCAUUUUCUGUUCUGAAAUUUCAACUAUAUAGAUCUCAUUUUGAUCAUCCUUAGAGCAUAAAGCUAUGUCUUAUAUCAGGAUCACUGAACGUGCUAUGCUCGCCCUGAAAAAUUCUUUAACUCACCUUUUAAUAAAGUACACCUAAAUGUCACUUCCUCAGUUAUAUCCUCCCUGGACCCUAAAUUUCUAUAGGCCCCUGUAUUCUUCUGUCAUAUAUUAUUCACAGUACACUACACCUUGCUUUAUGUAACAUCCAUAAUUAUGUCAAUUGCAUGUUAUAUUAUGUUUUUAAGACUACUGUAACAAAGUGCCACAAACUGGGUGGUUAACAACAAGAGAAAUCUAUAUCCCCCACAGUUCUGGGGUAUAUAAGUCGAAAUCAAGGUGUUAGCAGGACCAUGUUCUCUCUGCAGUUUCUAGGGGAUUUUUUUCUUGUGUUUCUUCCUAGAUUCUGGGAACUAACUGCUGGCAAUCCUUGGUAUUCUUCAUUUUGUAAACACAUCAUUGCAGUCUCUGCCUGCUUGCCACAUGAGGUUCUCCUUUGUGUCUCCAUGUAAAGAUGUCCCUUCAGUUAUAAGCACACCAGUCAUUGGAUUAGGCCCAUCCUAAUCCAUUAUGACCUCAUCUUAAUUUCAUUACAUCUGAAAAGACACCAUUUCCAAAUUUGGGGUCUCACAAUUACUGGGGGUUAGGAUUUCAGCAUUUUUUGGGGGGGGAGGACAAUUUAACCCAUAACCUGGUUAAUGCUUAUCUUCCCUUCUAGACUGUAUAACUGGUAAUUAGGAUGAUCACAUCAUUUGUCAUGAAAACCAGAACGUUUUUGAGACUGAAAGAGACAAUAUAAUAAUGACUCCAAAACAACAGCUGUAAACCAGAAUGUCCAAACAGAGCUAUCCACACUGCAUUCAAAGUGAAGAAACCAGAUACUAUUGUUCACUGCUCAAUUCUGAGAACUUGGAACACAAUAGAUGCUCAAUAAACAUCUGUUAAAUAAAUGAAUAAAAUUUACCAGUAAAUGAGGAAAUGAUGUUUUCAUUUAUUAAACUGAAUGCUCUCAGAAGAGAGCUGAUCUGCAGUUGAUGCUUAGAAUUGAAUACCAGUUGGCCAAGACAAGAAGGAGAUCACUGGUUGCAAGCUGUGGAAAGGAGAAGGUCAAAAACACAGAAGCAUGAAGGCACUUGGUGUUAUUAAUAAUUUCGAAGUAAGCACAAUGGGUCUGAGUAUAAGUCAUAACAAACAGAUUGUAAGUGAUAUAACAGCUUUACAAACAAAUCAGAAUUAUAACCAAAUUGUAUCAGACCAUGCAUAUUAGGCAGGAUUCUCCAGAGAAAUAGAAGCAAAUGGGAUAUAUAGAAAGAGUGAAAAAGAAAGCCAGGCUGGGAAUUCAGGCAAGAGUUGCUAUGGGAGUAUUGAGUCUGAAAUCCCCAGGCGAGGCCAGCAUGCAGGAAACUCAGAAAGAGUUCUGGGUUAUAGUCUUGAGGCACAAUUUUUUCUUUUCCAGGAAACCUCAGUCUUUGCUCUUAAGGCCUUCAACAAAUUAGAUAAGGCCUAUCCCCACUAUGAAGGGUAAUCUGCUUUACUUAAAGUCAACUGAUUGCAAAUGUCACAGUAACAUCUGGACUAGUGGUUGACCUGACAAUAGGGCAUCAUAGCCUAGCCUAGUUGACACAGAAAAUUAACCAAUCACAUCUUGUGUAGCAACUUAGUGUUAAAACUUCAUAUCAGCUCAUGUUCCCUGAACUAGUGUCACUGAAAUUAGAGUUUCAGGGUAAAAUGCAUUGACGAAAUAUUGGAAUGAAUUUCCUGGAGUCUUUAAAUAAGAAUAUAUGUAAGAAGGGUUCAUUCAGCUCUAUCAUCAUGGAGCUCCAGUAAACUCCUCUAAGGAUAAUGCUCUGUAACAUGGUUUGGGAAAUGCAGAUAUAGACAAUGGCAGGCAACCAAAGUUUCAAGCAUUGUAUUUGCAUGUUAGAUUGUAUUUUAGAAAGGAAAUUUCAGUAAAAACGUAAAAGUUGGAUGGGGUGAUCGGCGAAGCUAAAAAUAGAGAUAUAACAAACUAUGGCAUUCAUGUAAGGAAGAGAUAAUAAAGCCCAAAAGAAGAACAAGAAUUAGUAAGAAUAAUUAUCAACAUUUUAAUAUUUAUCAAGGUAUUCCAAUCACACUAUUAAACAAAAUGAUGAUAUAAUAAGAAUGAGCUUAACUACACAGACUCCUUGACAUGAACAUUAUAUGUCAAAAUUUGAAAGCUCUGACCAGCCCUGUUGGGUACAGUAGAUGGUCCCAGCCAAGUUUUCUAAGCAAGAAUCUUGUGAGUUGGAAUCCUGACAUUUUCUCUUAGUCUACAGAAUUUCACAUUAGAAUCAUUGGCAACAAAGAAAAGGAAAGAAAAUUAAUUUUUACAUAUAAAUAUAUUUACUUGGUCAAAAGCAUUAUAUUUCACCUAGAUUAGUGCCAGGAAAUCUACUAAUUGAUAGAGCCAUAAAAAUGCCUAAGACAGACUCUCUCUGUCUACAACUUAUUCACUAUAAUGAUUAGCCAGAAUGUCUCACAACAAAAGUUAAACAUACAUAAGAAUAUCUUGGUGCAGAGGAAAGAAAAUGUCGUGGAGAAAAUAAAAACUGGAUUCAACUGGCUUUUGAAAAUAUGAGCAAGUUAUUUAUUUUCUCAAAUUUCGGUUUCUUCCCAUACAAAAUUACCAUCUAUGUGAAAGCACACAGAUCUAGAUCUGCCUCCUGAUUUAUACUUUAGCUUGUUCUCAUUGUUUUUAGUGAUCCUAAAAUAAUUUUUAGAAAGUAUGGGUAAACUGAAAAUCCAAUAACCAAAGAGAUGUUGCAUCUAGUGCCCUCCAAUUUACCUUUGGGAUUAAAAAGUCUAGAGGUUCUUCCCCAUUCUUUCAUUCAUCACAGUGUGAAUUAAUGCCAAGAGGAUAUACCAUUGUUAACAGCUAACUUGAAAGAAAAGCGUUGAAAAUCUGAUUAUCCACCAGUAGGUUUUCCAGAUGAUGUUUUUCUAUCUUUCUGGUAACAAACAACAUUUUCAUGGAAAUUAAAGGUGGCAUCAAAGCAGACGUCAAACUACUACAAUGCUCACAUUUUGUAUUAGCAAAUAACUGUCACAUUUCUUCUGAGCAAGCUUUCUUCUGUGAUACAAAACUGUUGUGUAAUAAAGAAUUAUUCUGGGCCGGGCGCGCUGGCUCAAGCCUGUAAUCCCAGCACUUUGGGAGGCCGAGAUGGGCGGAUCACAAGGUCAGGAGAUCGAGACCAUCCUGGCUACCCCGGUGAAACCCCGUCUCCACUAAAAAAUACAAAAAACUAGCCGGGCGCGGUGGCGGGCGCCUGUAGUCCCAGCUACUCGGGAGGCUGAGGCAGGAGAAUGGCGUGAACCCGGGAGGCGGAGCUUGCAGUGAGCUGAGGUCCGGCCACUGCACUCUAGCCUGGGCGACUCCGUCUCAAAACAAAACAAACAAACAAACAAAAAAGAAUUAUUCUGAAUCUAGUGGUAAAAGAUGUAUAGUAAAGAGUGUCAAAAUGGUUCGUUAGUCACCUUUUUCUCUUUUUUUAUUUUGGUGUUUGUUUGUUUGAGACAGGGUCUCACUCCGUGGUCCAGGCUGGAGUAUAGUGGCAUUAUCACAGCUUACUGCAGCCUCAGUCUCCCAGGCUCAGGUGAUCCUCCCACCUCAGCCUCUAAAGUAGCUGGUACUACAGAUGCACAUCACCAUGUCCAGAUAAUUUUUUAAAUGUUUUGUAGAGACAGAAAAGGCUACCAUGCCCAGCUAAUUUU
ensembl:lncRNA